UUCAAAAAUUUUUUCUUUCUUCUUUAUUAAUUUCUUCCAUAUGUUUAUGGGCGAUAAUGUGUAUUACCAAUCUAGGAAUAUGUCAUUCAAGUUACUCCCUUCAUUUGUUCUUGUGAUGUGUUGUCGUAUUUAGUAAUGAAGAUUGUCUGUUAAUGAGUUGUUGUGUGUGUAAGGAGCUAACUGCAUCCAAGCUUGAAGAAUUCAAAUCCUGAAAGGUAUUUUCUGCCUUCACUUCAAUAAUUGAAAAUGAUUAAAGAUCACACUAAAAGCUGUAAGGAUUGUAAAUCAGAGGAAAAAGAUGUGAAAGGAGAUAAACAGGGAAUUGAAGGAAGGAGAGAAAAUGAAUCAAAUAGUGAUUAUAGCAGCAACAACUCCGGUGAUAAUGAACCGCUUUUGGAUGAUUAUGUGAAUAUUCCCGAUAAUACAAGAGAAAAUGGUUUUGUUCGUCCAACUACAGCUUAUCGGUUUCUAGAUGACGUCCGCGACAAUAAGUGGCUUCUCCUUAUCUUCCUUAUCUUUUUUAUUCUACUCCUACUUCUGAUAGCAGAUUGCUUAUAUAACGACAUGAAGAAAGUUAAGGGAACCGAACAUUUCUAGAAGCUUUGAUCCUAAAAAUAUUUUCUAGUUAGGAAUUUGAAGAUGUUUCAAAAUGUUAUGUCCAUAUUUGUUAUUUUAUUCGAAAUGUGGUUUUAAAGUAUUAAUUGAAAAUAUUUUGAUGUUAUGUGUAGAUAAUUCUUUUUAUAAAAUUUAUGGGAGCUAUACAUCUUUAAUGGAAGGGUUGGUUACGAAAGAAAACGCUGAAUAUGAAAAUUAUUUUCAUCAUUAGUAUUAUAAACUAUUGUAAGAUAAUAAUACCUUUUGAUCACUGAGCCAAUUAAUUUGUUUAAUGUUUAGUUGAAGUUUUUGGAACUUUUACCUAUACAUAUUUGAGAAAAGAUUAAAGAUUUGAAUUUAUUAUCGACACCAUAUCAUUAAUUUCUGAUUAUCCAGAAAUGACAUAUUCAUUGAAAAAUUAUGUCAUAUAAUACGAAUUUUUUGUAUAAUAAAAUUUGUUUUCUUUCA